rnacentral:rRNA from 1 species
GACGAACGCUGGCGGCGUGCUUAACACAUGCAAGUGGAGCGACGAACCAGGGCUUGCCCUGGGGCAGAGCCGCGAACGGGUGAGUAACACGUGGGUAACGUGCCCCGAUGACUGGGACAACCCGGGGAAACCCGGGCUAAUACCGGAUGUGCCCCCUCCCAUCAGUGAGGUGUGUAAAGGAAGCUUCGGCCUCCGCAUCGGGAUCGGCCCGCGGCCCAUUAGCUUGUUGGUGAGGUAACGGCUCACCAAGGCUGCGAUGGGUAGCUGGUCUGAGAGGACGAUCAGCCACACUGGGACUGAGACACGGCCCAGACUCCUACGGGAGGCAGCAGUGGGGAAUCUUGCGCAAUGCGCGAAAGCGUGACGCAGCAACGCCGCGUGGGGGAAGACGGCCUUCGGGUUGUAAACCCCUUUCAGUUGGGACGAAGGUCGGGCGGUUAACAGCCGUUCCGGCUGACGGUACCUUCACAAGAAGCCCCGGCUAACUACGUG